ensembl:lncRNA
AUCCUAAGGAAGAUGGAGGAAAAUAUGCCAGACCACAAUGAAAUGUCAAGCUAAUCUAAUUGCACCUCCUCCCAGACCUCAGAUGCCAGAUAUGAUGCUUAACUCUUCCUCCACUGUCUCUGAUGCCUUUUUGAAUGGUAGCAAAUCUGAUCUCAAAGAAGAAAGAUGGCCUUUCUUGCUCAAGACCCAUGGCUACAAGUUGUAUGCAUCAGGAUAAUGACAUGCAUAUGGUCACAUGCUGCUGCUGCUGCUGCUGCUGCUGCUGCUGAGUCGCUUCAAUCGUGUCUGACUCUGCAACCCCAUAGAUGGCAGCCCAUCAGGCUCCCUGAGCCCCACACAUUUUGCCCUGGUCCUGGGUCCCUAAUAGGG